rnacentral:rRNA from 2 species
AGAGUUUGAUCCUGGCUCAGGACGAACGCUGGCGGCGUGCUUAACACAUGCAAGUCGAACGGAAAGGCCCUGCUUUUGUGGGGUGCUCGAGUGGCGAACGGGUGAGUAACACGUGAGUAACCUGCCCUUGACUUUGGGAUAACUUCAGGAAACUGGGGCUAAUACCGGAUAGGAGCUCCUGCUGCAUGGUGGGGGUUGGAAAGUUUCGGCGGUUGGGGAUGGACUCGCGGCUUAUCAGCUUGUUGGUGGGGUAGUGGCUUACCAAGGCUUUGACGGGUAGCCGGCCUGAGAGGGUGACCGGCCACAUUGGGACUGAGAUACGGCCCAGACUCCUACGGGAGGCAGCAGUGGGGAAUAUUGCACAAUGGGCGGAAGCCUGAUGCAGCAACGCCGCGUGCGGGAUGACGGCCUUCGGGUUGUAAACCGCUUUCGCCUGUGACGAAGCGUGAGUGACGGUAAUGGGUAAAGAAGCACCGGCUAACUACGUGCCAGCAGCCGCGGUGAUACGUAGGGUGCGAGCGUUGUCCGGAUUUAUUGGGCGUAAAGGGCUCGUAGGUGGUUGAUCGCGUCGGAAGUGUAAUCUUGGGGCUUAACCCUGAGCGUGCUUUCGAUACGGGUUGACUUGAGGAAGGUAGGGGAGAAUGGAAUUCCUGGUGGAGCGGUGGAAUGCGCAGAUAUCAGGAGGAACACCAGUGGCGAAGGCGGUUCUCUGGGCCUUUCCUGACGCUGAGGAGCGAAAGCGUGGGGAGCGAACAGGCUUAGAUACCCUGGUAGUCCACGCUGUAAACGGUGGGUACUAGGUGUGGGGUCCAUUCCACGGGUUCCGUGCCGUAGCUAACGCUUUAAGUACCCCGCCUGGGGAGUACGGCCGCAAGGCUAAAACUCAAAGGAAUUGACGGGGCCCCGCACAAGCGGCGGAGCAUGCGGAUUAAUUCGAUGCAACGCGUAGAACCUUACCUGGGUUUGACAUGGAUCGGGAGCGCUCAGAGAUGGGUGUGCCUCUUUUGGGGUCGGUUCACAGGUGGUGCAUGGCUGUCGUCAGCUCGUGUCGUGAGAUGUUGGGUUAAGUCCCGCAACGAGCGCAACCCUUGUUCACUGUUGCCAGCACGUUAUGGUGGGGACUCAGUGGAGACCGCCGGGGUCAACUCGGAGGAAGGUGGGGAUGACGUCAAGUCAUCAUGCCCCUUAUGUCCAGGGCUUCACGCAUGCUACAAUGGCUGGUACAGAGAGUGGCGAGCCUGUGAGGGUGAGCGAAUCUCGGAAAGCCGGUCUCAGUUCGGAUUGGGGUCUGCAACUCGACCUCAUGAAGUCGGAGUCGCUAGUAAUCGCAGAUCAGCAACGCUGCGGUGAAUACGUUCCCGGGGCUUGUACACACCGCCCGUCAAGUCAUGAAAGUUGGUAACACCCGAAGCCGGUGGCCUAACCGUUGUGGGGGAGCCG